rnacentral:rRNA from 1 species
CGGCGGCGGGUGGAGUAACGCGUGGGUAACCUGCCUCAUACAGGGGGAUAACAGUUGGAAACGGCUGCUAAUACCGCAUAAGCGCACAGUACCGCAUGGUACGGUGUGAAAAACUCCGGUGGUAUGAGAUGGACCCGCGUCUGAUUAGGUAGUUGGUGGGGUAACGGCCUACCAAGCCGACGAUCAGUAGCCGACCUGAGAGGGUGACCGGCCACAUUGGGACUGAGACACGGCCCAA